CCCUAGCCCAGAUUGAAGUGGAAAUCCUUUUAAUUUUUUUCUUUAAAAAAAUUAAAAGAUUGAAACGAAAAGCUGGAAAUAGC
rfam:Flavobacterium branchiophilum FL-15, complete genome.